UACGAAGGGGGCUAGCGUUGCUCGGAAUUACUGGGCGUAAAGGGCGCGUAGGCGGAUAUCUAAGUCGGGGGUGAAAGCCCAGGGCUCAACCCUGGAAUUGCCUUCGAUACUGGGUAUCUUGAGUACGGGAGAGGUGAGUGGAACUCCGAGUGUAGAGGUGAAAUUCGUAGAUAUUCGCAAGAACACCAGUGGCGAAGGCGGCUCACUGGCCCGGUACUGACGCCGAGGUGCGAAAGCGUGGGGAGCAAACAGG
rnacentral:rRNA from 1 species